AGUUUCUUACCUCUUCGAUAGGCAGGCCCAACCCCGAUCCCCAAUCUCCUCUGUCCUGACCCGCUCGUCAACCCUAGCCGCCAGUGACGGACAAGGCCAUCCCGCCGCCGCCGCCGGCCAACUCGUCCGGUGACCCUGCCGCCGCCGGCCAACAGUCUGGCCACCCCGUCGACACUCUCCUCCUCGAGUCGCCCCUUCCCCACACCGCGAGUCCUUCGUCUACCUCUCCGCCCCAACCUGCCAGCAGUCGGCUCCGGCCAAGGUUGUCGACGUUGCUCCUCUGCCCCGUCGGCGCCGCUUCAGAAGCUCAGGAUUUAUAUACGAGAGCAUACAAUCUUUUUUAGUACACACAGUGACAUGAACUUUCAUAUAGAAUUGUCCAACAUGGUUGCUGAAUAGACCAUUGAGAACACUAGGAUUAUCACCGAGUUGUUUGUCGAGCAAGUGAGAGCUGGAAAUAGGCCAAAUACUCACUUGACCUCCUAUGCAUAUGAUGAGGUGGGGAGGCAAUUCAAAAUAAGAACAGGGCUGGAGUACAACAAUGACCAAUUGAAGAAAAAAUGGGACAAACUCAGAGCUGAAUACGACAUAUUCAAGAAACUUAAGUUGAAGGAGACUGGAGCGGGAUCGGACAUAGAGCGUAACACUGUGAAACAAGAUGCGGAGUGGUGGAAGAAGGCAAAGAUAACAUUCCAGGUUGUCAAGUUCAGGAAGCAUGGACUUCGCAAUGAAGAGAACUUGCGCGUCAUGUUUGAAGACAUCACAAGUGACGGUUCCAUCAUUGGAAUCCAACUUCUGGCAUCCCACCUACUUCUACCACACUAAUAUCAAGUGCCAUAAAUCUUGAGCAAAUAGAAGAUGUUGAUCUGUUGGAGGAUACCCAAGAGGCACCAUCUCCUGUUACACCGAAGGUUAAUAAAAGGCUUGGAAAGAUCAUUUGUGACACAAACAAGAAACCCAAGACCGCACAAGUUAUGCAGGAGCAGAUUACAGUAAUUGGGGACAUUUGUAAGGAAUCACACAAGACAUUUGAGUCGUUCUUUAAGGACGAUGACACCACCUCUGUUGCAUCUGUUAUGAAAGAAGCAAUUGCUUGUGGCGCAAUAGAAGGUAGUGAUGAGCACUUCAUUGCCUCUGAGCUUUUCACCAAAAGGGAGCAAAGGGAGAUGUUUCUAAGCAUGAGUGUUGACACUCGUUUGGGUUGGCUCAGGAGGAAGUUCAGCGUCAAGUAUGGGAACUAGUUGUUUCCAAUUUAUGUCAUAUGUGUCAUGGUAGCUUAUGUCCUAUGGUACAAUAUUUAAGUACUCGUGUUGAACAAUUGUUUCCUAUAUGGCUUGUAAGAACUUAUUGAAUAAUAUUUAUGUAUGACAUGGAGUUUCAUCUUCA